GACGAACGCUGGCGGCGUGCUUAACACAUGCAAGUCGAACGGAAAGGCCCUGCUUUUGUGGGGUGCUCGAGUGGCGAACGGGUGAGUAACACGUGAGUAACCUGCCCUUGACUUUGGGAUAACUUCAGGAAACUGGGGCUAAUACCGGAUAGGAGCUCCUGCUGCAUGGUGAGGGUUGGAAAGUUUCGGCGGUUGGGGAUGGACUCGCGGCUUAUCAGCUUGUUGGUGGGGUAGUGGCUUACCAAGGCUUUGACGGGUAGCCGGCCUGAGAGGGUGACCGGCCACAUUGGGACUGAGAUACGGCCCAGACUCCUACGGGAGGCAGCAGUGGGGAAUAUUGCACAAUGGGCGGAAGCCUGAUGCAGCAACGCCGCGUGCGGGAUGACGGCCUUCGGGUUGUAAACCGCUUUCGCCUGUGACGAAGCGUGAGUGACGGUAAUGGGUAAAGAAGCACCGGCUAACUACGUGCCAGCAGCCGCGGUGAUACGUAGGGUGCGAGCGUUGUCCGGAUUUAUUGGGCGUAAAGGGCUCGUAGGUGGUUGAUCGCGUCGGAAGUGUAAUCUUGGGGCUUAACCCUGAGCGUGCUUUCGAUACGGGUUGACUUGAGGAAGGUAGGGGAGAAUGGAAUUCCUGGUGGAGCGGUGGAAAGCGCAGAUAUCAGGAGGAACACCAGUGGCGAAGGCGGUUCUCUGGGCCUUUCCUGACGCUGAGGAGCGAAAGCGUGGGGAGCGAACAGGCUUAGAUACCCUGGUAGUCCACGCUGUAAACGGUGGGUACUAGGUGUGGGGUCCAUUCCACGGGUUCCGUGCCGUAGCUAACGCUUUAAGUACCCCGCCUGGGGAGUACGGCCGCAAGGCUAAAACUCAAAGGAAUUGACGGGGCCCCGCACAAGCGGCGGAGCAUGCGGAUUAAUUCGAUGCAACGCGUAGAACCUUACCUGGGUUUGACAUGGAUCGGGAGCGCUCAGAGAUGGGUGUGCCUCUUUUGGGGUCGGUUCACAGGUGGUGCGUGGCUGUCGUCAGCUCGUGUCGUGAGAUGUUGGGUUAAGUCCCGCAACGAGCGCAACCCUUGUUCACUGUUGCCAGCACGUUAUGGUGGGGACUCAGUGGAGACCGCCGGGGUCAACUCGGAGGAAGGUGGGGAUGACGUCAAGUCAUCAUGCCCCUUAUGUCCAGGGCUUCACGCAUGCUACAAUGGCUGGUACAGAGAGUGGCGAGCCUGUGAGGGUGAGCGAAUCUCGGAAAGCCGGUCUCAGUUCGGAUUGGGGUCUGCAACUCGACCUCAUGAAGUCGGAGUCGCUAGUAAUCGCAGAUCAGCAACGCUGCGGUGAAUACGUUCCCGGG
rnacentral:rRNA from 1 species